CACGUAGGGGGCGAGCGUUGUCCGGAAUCAUUGGGCGUAAAGAGCUCGUAGGCGGCUCAGUAAGUCGGGUGUGAAACCCUCAGGCUCAACCUGGGGACGCCACCCGAUACUGCUGUGGCUAGAGUCCAGUAGGGGAGUGUGGAAUUCCCGGUGUAGCGGUGAAAUGCGUAGAUAUCGUAAGGAAGACCUGAGGUGAAGACGGGUUGCUGGGCUGACACUGACGCUGAGGCGCGAAAGCUAGGGUAGCAAACGGG
rnacentral:rRNA from 1 species